rnacentral:ncRNA from 2 species
ACGCGCUGGCGGGACUCGGUGAAAUUCCGAACCGGCGGUGAUCCGAUGCGCACGCAUCGGUAGCCCGCGACCCGGACGUCGACCAUGACGGACGGUGGACCUGGUGAGACUCCAGGGCCGACGGUUGAUCAGGCGAAAGCCCGGUCAGACAGUCCGGAUGGGAGACAGCGCGC